rnacentral:rRNA from 1 species
AUUGAACGCUGGCGGCAUGCCUUACACAUGCAAGUCGAACGGUAACGGGCCUUCGGGUGCCGACGAGUGGCGAACGGGUGAGUAAUGCAUCGGAACGUACCUUUCAGUGGGGGAUAACGUAGCGAAAGUUACGCUAAUACCGCAUAUUCUGUGAGCAGGAAAGCAGGGGAUCGCAAGACCUUGCGCUGAUUGAGCGGCCGAUGUCAGAUUAGCUAGUUGGUGAGGUUAAAGGGCUCACCAAGGCGACGAUCUGUAGCGGGUCUGAGAGGAUGAUCCGCCACACUGGAACUGAGACACGGUCCAGACUCCUACGGGAGGCAGCAGUGGGGGAAUUUUGGACAAUGGGGGCAACCCUGAUCCAGCCAUGCCGCGUGAGUGAAGAAGGCCUC